AGCGUAUGCAAUAUGCUGUACAAGUUCAUCAGGAAGCCAACUGUCGCUAUUCAAUACAAGGGCAAGACCCUGAAACGCCUCUUGGACCAGAGAUGGACUGGCCAUUUGGCAACUGUCAAUGUUGUGGUGAAGAGUUUCCCCAAUAUAUACACAUUAUUGACCAAGGUGGAGAAUACACAGGGCCAUGGAGCUGAGGUGCGGGUCAAGGCUACUGGGCUACUUCGUGCCAUAUCGCAACGCAGCUUUCGUUUUCUUGCACAGUCUGUUCAGAAAGUUUUGUCACUUUUCGAGCCGCCAAACAGACUACUACAAGCUGAGAAUAUGGACUUGUUCACUGCGGUUACACUUGUGAACAGUGUGUCCGAAUGCGUACAGAAACUGCGCACAGAGAAUGAGUUUACUGCACUAUGAGAUCUCUGCGCUCCAGCCACCGCUGAGGCUGAGCCUGUGACAGGUCCCAGCUAUCCAAGCAAGAGACGCACACUUAACAAGAACCUUUGUGCAUUUGUAGUUGAAGAAACAGUUGGCCAGUCACAGAGCGACACAGAUGAAAAGACAGAGUUCAUGAGAUUAUUUUACAGUGUUAUCGAUGCUGCACAAGGAGAGAUGGAUGCACGUUUUGGAGAGCACAGUAGCGAGCUCAUUGGCGUGCUAGCUGCUUUGAACCCAGAGGCCGAAGACAAUUUCAUAGAUCCAUCGAAGGUAACCUCUCUCCUGAGAUUAGCUGCCACUGAAAUGGUUGAAUCGGAGUAUGCUGUGGCUCGUGAGUUCCUGGUGAAGAAGAUGACGGAGACCUCGAUUCCCCCCCAAAGAUGGAAAAUGGACAAUAGCCAACAUUCUCAGUACAUUCCACUGAGCACUCGAGGCCAUGCCGACUGUCAUCACAGCUUAUACCCUUGCCCUAACUUUGGGGGCAUCUACUGCAACGUGUGAAAACUCCUUUUCAACACGUUUUCUCCGAGCAUCGGCAUAGUAUGUUGCACAAACGCAAAGCUUAUUCAACUUGCCUUUGAAAAGGAUCUUACUCACAAGUUCAAGGAUGAAUGGAAGGACAUUUUGAUGAAGAUUCAACACUCAGAAACGCCGCCUUCAACUUUACUGAGUCAGAGGGAGAACGAGAGAGCUCCAUUUAGAAAAUCUGGCAUACAUAUGUGGGAGGUCCUCUUGACAAUAAUGCUACCGGUGAUGGCGAUGACACAAGAGUGCCCAGAGCAGUGCCCAGCACCUGGGAUAAUUGCAAGAUCACACCAGGGCGCCCUGAUCAACAAUAUCCAAUGGGACCAUAUUCCAGUCCCGGUGAACUUGACAGCAUGGUCUCCAGAUCUGGAUGAGCACUGCAAGGGGGAGAGCGUGACCCAGUACAAGGACCUCAUGACAACAGCAUUCCUCAAAUACCAUGACAUGAUGGCUGCCAACUUCCAGAGCGACAGCCCAACCCCCACACCUACCAGACGAAAACUGCUUGGGUUCCUGGAUGGUGUUCUAGGAACUACAGGAACUGGAUUAGCUAUUUCAAAUUGGAUGGAUACCCUACAACUGAAAA